AAUGAGUUUUGUCCCGGGGGGGCGGGAAGGAAGAGGUCCGCGGGCUGAGUCGGGCACAUGCCUCACCCGAGAGGGCCCAGUUCCCAGGAGGGCGCCCCCCUUUCCUUCCCUCCUGCUGCUUCCAGCUUAGAGUCGGGGGUCUCCUUGGCCUGGAGGUGCGGAAGGGGGGGGGCCGCGAGACUCCUGCCAGCCAAGUGUUAUGGUGCGGAUCCAGUCUCACCGGGAGGGGACUCACUCCUGCCAGCUGCUACCUUCACCACUUCAAAGGUGACGCACUGCGUGGAUCCUGGGAAGGGAGAGGUCCGCGGGCUGCCUUGGUUGCUGGCAGGGGUUGGGCAUAUGCCAGCUGGAUGACCCGAGAAGGAGCAUUACAGGGCGUGUGGAGAGGGCGCAGUGCACAGGAGGGCAUUCCCGUCUCCCUCUCCCCUGCUGCUCCCAGCUUAGAGCCGAGGGGUCUCCCUGGCCUUGGGGCAGAGGGGUGGGGAGGGGGUUGUGAGACUCUUGCCCAUAGCACACAGGGAUGUUGAAAGCUGCCGCCUUCUGAGCUGGCCCAUCCAGCUCGGUUUUGGCCAAGAGGCAACCCAAGGCUCAGGGACAGGAGGCCUUCCGGGCCCUAACUGGAGACACUGCCCAACUAUGCAUUGCAUUAAAUCUGAAGUCUUAUCCUUAAAAGGUGGGGGGUUUAAAUAGGAGUCACGGAGGGCUGUGCUGAGACCCUGAGAUUGCAGUGUGUGGAGAGGAUGUAACCCUUUCCUCUUACUUAUGAUUCAGAUGGGACUUGCUGUUGUCCCCAGGAUAGAAGCUCCCUUGGUGUCAGAACAACCAAGAAGAGCAUCUUUGAAUUCUGCUCUUUGCUUCCAUCUUGUUGGUGAACCACACACUUCCCUUACUGAGUUACAAUGCAGGCAGCACACAGUCAUUGGGCACAGUGGCUCCUGCCUAUAAUUCUCUAAUCACGGGAAUUCCCGAGGAAUGCUGUGGAUCACCUGAGCUCAGAGGUGCUUCUGCGAAUAUCAGGACUGACACGGCAGACCUUGAGAACAGAGCUACCAGGCCAUUUACGAGGGGAACGGCAAUCUAGCCUGAACGCAACGGAGGCCUCCAGCCUCCCGUUUUAGCACACAAGAGAAGGGCAUGUAUAGACCUGGUAGGGCGAAUACCCCAGACCGCAGUAUCGGUGCUGAACUUAGCAUGGAAACCUCUUCAACACUGUAUGCAGCAACACUGAGCAGUUGCUAAGAAAGCUAAUGGAAUCACAGGGCAUUUACAGGGCAUAGUGUCUAGGGGCCUCCAGAUGUUGCUGAACUACAACUCCCAUCAGCCCCUGCUCCCAUUACUUCGGGCACGCACUCUAUUCUGUGCUAGUCACACUCCCCUUGGAACACUAUGCAGAUUUAUGCAAUGGGUCGUGUGGUAUUGUCGUUUUAUAGAAGUGAUGUUUCCUCUAGGCAUACAGGUUCAGACAUUUUUCUUAUAUGCGUAUUUUAAGUUAUACAGAUUUUCCUUGGGCACGGGGGGGGGGGACCAAAACAUGAGGAAAUCGAUCUGCCCAGAACACACACACCCCACCAAACACUUAAGGUUGUCUUUUGGGGAGAAUCUUGGGAAACACUUAAAUUGCUGACACUCAACUAUUUCAUAUCAGACGAUAUUAAACUGAUCACAAAGCAAUUGCCUGACCCCUCUGCCAGUGGGCAUCACAAUCCCGUCCUUCUUGGCCUCCCCCCAUUUGACCAUAUAUGGUCCUUCAAAAGCCCCUCUCAACAUGGCCUGCCUCUUUCUGCUGUCACAAGGAGAGCAACCACAGCCCCCUCCCACUUCUGCCCGCAUCAUAAGACUCCACUGUCCUCUGAGCCCCAAUAAAAGCAGCCCACCUUUGCUGAGCAGCUAAGUCUCCCGGGGGGGUGGAGGGGGAACGGUUAAUGUUCCCCCUUUGCCCCCGUGGGAUGUGGGAGGGCGGCCGAAGUCCUGGGCUUUUUCUGCAAUCUCAGUCCCUGUAGGGGAUCCAGGUUUCUGGUAGAGGAUGCCUAGCUGUCUCCCCUAGACCCCUGCAGGCUCCUUCGGGAGCUCCUACUGGCCACGACCGUCUACCGUGCCCCUCUCGGGCAAAAGGGCUGAAGCGGGGUCUCCCCCUCCCUGUAAGAAGAAGCUCCCCAAGCAGCUCGAAGACCCAGCUCCCAAAGGCAUGGUCCUUUUGGUUGAGCCAGAGUAGCUCAAGCUGUGUCUGGGCAGGCUCGUCCAUUGGUGGUCCUGCCCCAACACAGAUUGACCAAGGCCCACUGUUUAACCUGGCCCUGCAGGCCUGGCUGGUUGCCGCUUUUUGGAGCCGAGAAGGAAUUUUCCCCUGGGAGGUCUCUGGAUCCCCAGGUUUUUUGCCUUCUCUGCACGGCCUUCCUCUUGAGCUCUGCAAGCGCCUUGGCUUGCCGCUGAAGACGAGUCAACCAGUGGGUCUUUCCCCCUCCCUCCCCCCCCCCCAAUAAAAUAGAAAUUAAUCUGAA